UACGUAGGGUGCAAGCGUUAAUCGGAAUUACUGGGCGUAAAGCGUGCGCAGGCGGUGAUGUAAGACAGAUGUGAAAUCCCCGGGCUCAACCUGGGAACUGCAUUUGUGACUGCAUCGCUAGAGUACGGCAGAGGGGGAUGGAAUUCCGCGUGUAGCAGUGAAAUGCGUAGAUAUGCGGAGGAACACCGAUGGCGAAGGCAAUCCCCUGGGCCUGUACUGACGCUCAUGCACGAAAGCGCGGGGAGCAAACAGG
rnacentral:rRNA from 1 species